UGCAGCCUUGUCAAAUCGAGUGCUCUGUUUUUAGUCGGUGCCACUGGCCGAAAUGGCUGCCACAGUUAAAUGUAGUUCAUUGAUUUAAACAUGAUCUCUGGGUUAAAUAUGUGCUACACAAUUGACAAAA
ensembl:snoRNA Small nucleolar RNA SNORA5